GUCAGUUAACAAUAUUUUACAACUAUUAGAGGUUUAUUAUCAGACAUACUGUGGGAAACCCCUAAUAUAAUACUAAUAAUACUUUACUUAUCUGUAAUGAUUCAUUCAUUAAAAAAUGGGAUGUAAGACAAAACAAGGAGGUAUAUUCGUGGUAUUAUCUAACGCAUGAAUUAUAUUGCAUUUCAUCUGAUAAUGCAUAUACAAUGAUGACAGGAACAAAAGAUGGCAAAGCGCUCCUAUGGGAUAUAAGACGCAAUACUUUUAUUCAAAAGUAUUUUGUGGAUAAAAAUAACACGAUAUGUUCUUUACAAUUUGAUAGCAGCCACUUAUAUGCUGCUACUCGUCAACAUUUAUAUGAAUAUAACUUUGCAGCUCAUUCUCUAUAUUGAUUUCAACACUUGCACUACACUGCUCUAGUGCACACUAAAG